CCGGAGGAUGUCAUGGACUCUUACACUAAGUAAACAUUGCAAUAUACAUUGAGAUCGCGAGCGCGUCUCGCCCGCCAAAUGGUUAUCAACAUUGUACGAACACAUGUUUUAGUAGUUUUAUGUUUUCAUUAAAGACUGAUAAAAUUCGUCGAUUGCAGUCCAUUUUCUCCUGCUCAGUACACAUAUCGAACCCCGCUUUACACAACACAGUAAAUCUCGUGUAGAGAGACUGUCUCCUGGGGAAAGACGUAAAAUGUUAAUUUCCGUCUUAAUAAUACCUUGAAUUAGGCGUUCCACUAUGCGUAUCAAAGGAAGGCAUAUUUAUCCCUCAACGGAAUUAAGCGCAGUGUGGACGUCAAGC